GAGGGUGCCCGGAACCCGCGGCCGCUUGGCAAAGGCAGACGGAGACGCUGGGGUGCCUCUGUGCCUGCCAGUAAGGCAGGGAGGAAGGCAGGAGGAGCCACUGAGCAAAACUUCACGGAAUUGGGUCCCGGGUCCUGACUCCCGGCUGGCUCCCGCGCUCUGCAGGAUGACAACUGUUCAUCACCUGAACCCUGACCUGGACAAGCACGGUCUCCAGCUGCGUCUCCUCCAGACACUGAGGAGCCACAAGAACCAGGUGAAAGGGUUGCCUAGUUAGCCUACAGAAGAAAGCUGGGGCGCAGAGCUGAGGCGGCAUGGGAAGAGGUGGGCGGUGAGGAAGGGAUUCGAAGGCCAGGGUCCGUCCUGGAAACCACUGGCCUUGGCUCUGUUUCAAGUUCUACUUGCUGCCCUGCCCCUUGUCCUUGUCCCAGAACAGGAGGCCAGGCUCCUGCUGGGGACGGCUCUGGCUUCCAUACAGGGGAUCCCUGUGACAUCCCACAAUGAAGCAACUCUCCCAUGAAUGCUCUGGGGAGGAGGGGAGAGACAAGUCACGUGAGCAUUGAUGGCAGUCAGGAGCACAGCCAUGACCCCGACACCCCAGGCUCAAGUCCUCUUUAAGUGCUCGUUACAUCACCCUAGACCAGUGGGUCUCAACCUUCCUAAUGCUGCGACCCUCUAAUACAGUUCUUCAUGUUGUGGUGACUCCAAACUAUAAAAUUAUUUUUGUUGCUACUUCA